UCUGACGCCGCUGCGGGGCGUUCGUCACGGGUUUCAUCAUGCGGGGGGUGUUCCCCCGGGGUGGGGAGCCCGACGACCGAGGGCUCGCCAAAGUGGAUUCGCUGAUCGCUUGACAUUCGGAGGCCCUCCUUCUAGCGCCAAUCUGUUAUGGUAAGUAACUUUUUUAGCCGUGACCUUGGGGUCGACGCGGCUGGUUCAGGGGUCCGAACGGCUAGGAUCAGGCGAGGCUCCUCUCGGGAUCUUGGGGCGGUUGAUUACGGGGGAUCUGGCUGGAAUGCUUCGCGUCGCCGGGUUGGAUCGGCUUCUGUCG
rnacentral:lncRNA from 1 species